rnacentral:rRNA from 1 species
GACGAACGCUGGCGGCGUGCUUGACACAUGCAAGUCGAACGGAAAGGCCUGCUUUCCCUUGUGGAUUGCGGGUACUCGAGUGGCGAACGGGUGAGUAACACGUGAGUGAUCUGCCCCCAACUUGGGUAUAAGCCUGGGAAACUGGGUCUAAUUCCCGAUAGGACUGCAGGGUGGUGCCUGUGGUGGAAAACGAUUUUCUAGUGGUUGGGGAUGAGCUCGCGGCCUAUCAGCUUGUUGGUGGGGUAAUGGCCUACCAAGGCGGCGACGGGUAGCCGGCCUGAGAGGGUGGACGGCCACAUUGGGACUGAGAUACGGCCCAGACUCCUACGGGAGGCAGCAGUGGGGAAUAUUGCACAAUGGGCGGAAGCCUGAUGCAGCGACGCCGCGUGGGGGAUGACGGCCUUCGGGUUGUAAACUCCUUUCGACCGCGAGGAAGCCACCUGGUUGGAAGUGUGGAGACGGUAGUGGUAGAAGAAGCACCGGCUAACUACGUG